AGAGGGAACCAUUUGUUCAGAUAUUUUUCCUCUCUUCAGAUAAUUUUUUUUUGUUUUUGCCUCUCCAUAAUAUCUGAGAUAAAGGGGGUGGGAGUUAAUCUUAAUGUAUUUAGACGAUAGCCAAGCUACUGAGUGUGCUCUGAUGCAUAGAAUCCCAGGUAUGUUUCUGAAAUCUUGCCUCUGCCAGAAGCUCAAUUUGAGCACUGGGAAAGGAGGAUUCUGGAAUUGGACGGAUCCCGUUAACUUUACAAGUUGAGACAGAAUCGAUCUUGACAUUCCUCCAGAAGAGUCUACCAUUGUCAUUCUGGUCUGAUAGUAGGUGACACACACCUGGCUUCAGGAAAUAAAAAGACACCUUGCACAUAGUGAUCUGUUCACUGUCUUAUAUAAAGUAUUCUUGGCUCAAUGUGGUCGUGAUAUCAUGGGAUGAUGUAUGUGAUGUGUGUAAAUAGAUAAGACUACUGACAUGCAAGCUCCCUAAUACAAAAUGAGUGAAUGAGUGAGGGAAUGAAUGAAUGGCUUGGAAGUCCCUCAAACAUCUAUCAGAGAAAGACUUAAACAUUGCUUUGCUAUUCUACACUCCAUAGCAAUUCCAUGGCAGUGCUGGGAAGCUGAGUGUGGAUAGCUCAUUUACUGGGUAUUUCUGUCCUUGUCUCUGAGCUUACCACAAUGCCAUGCCCAGACAAAGCAUAAAAAUGACGGUCAUUUCUAGGACACAUAAUUGAACAUUAAUACUCGGUGACACUGCUGAAAGAAUGAUAUGUCAACCUGACAGGGCCGGGGUGCUUACAUCUGCGGAUUGGCUGAGGACACAGGCCCUUGUGCCAGGAUCAGACCCCAGGCCCAGCUGCAGAAGGACAGGGAUGACACAGCCAUUGAUCAGGAGCAGCCACCAUCAGUAUAGAUGGUAUCUGUAAAAUUCGCUCUGCAUGACCUGUGGUAAAAAUAAAACCCAAAAUAGCAUCCCGGACUUUGACUAUUUCCUCGGCAGACUUUUCAGUGGGUAACGUGUUCUUUCCAUGCGUUGCUUUUUUAAUUUUUCUUCUACUAGCUCUAUAUUCUGAAUAAAUGGGGGCGUCAUGGAUGAAAGAGAGGUUCUGAGGUGCUGUGUCCUUUGUUCCUAUGAAAAUUCAUUUUGAUGAGUUUCUGGCUCCCUGAUUCGCCAUACAGAGGUGGCGUAGUAAGGAAACCAAGCAAGAAUUAAACCAAACUUACUAACUGUGAUUUAUUUUUUCAAUUCUCAACAAAAUAUUAAACGCUGUAGGCAGAAUUCCGAACAAAGGGAAAAGAAAUCUAUGCAAUUAUUUCCUUAUCCUUGAGAUCUUAUCUUUAGUGAGCUAAGCCUGCUGCUCUAGCAUUUCCACAGCUAACAUAUCACCAGCAUAUCCACAGUAAGAAAACAUAUCACCAGCAUAUCCACAGUAAGAAAACAUAUCCACAGUAAGAAAAGACACCUGGAGCCAUUGCCGAGACCCUUGGAUACUUACCCCUAGGUGGGUCUUCUUAAAACAGGGGUGAGUUCUCUGGUGUUAGUCACUCAGGGUGGGCUUAUGCUGCAUAAAAUGUCCAAAAUAGGGCCCCAGAGAGCAUCCGUUACUACAUACUGGUUAACAUCACAGAUUUUUAAAAAAAUCUCAGUUGCACUGGAGCCUU
rnacentral:lncRNA from 1 species